GAUCUCCUCCGGCAGCGAAUACCCCAAGGUGGAGAACAAGCGACACCCAGAAGGUGAGGGGAAGAGAAGGGGCAAGCUGUAAAGGCAGAGGAGGGUGGGAUCUGGGAAGACCAGAAAGCCAGUGGACGUUGGGAGAUGAGAACACAGAGCAGGGCCUCUGGGAUAGGGGGACAGGCAGAACCUUGGACAGCUCCCUUGCCCUGCUUAGCUACUUAGUAGUGAGCUGAACCUGCCCCUAGCCAGGAGUCUAACUGGGCUUUGGUUGUUCCCUCCACAAUGCACUGCUCUGGCGGCGGCGGCGGCGGCGGCGGCAGGAGGAGGAGGAGGAGAUCGACCCAGGGCUCAGCUCAUUCCUCAUUUCUGUGCCAGCUCAGCGUACGUUGCUGCUCAAGGGAAAAAGUAACCACUACAGUUUCAACUGGAGGAGAAAGGAAGGAGAAAAGGAGAGAAAAAAGCCACAUACUCAAUCAUCACCUGCUACCCAGACCAGAGACCAUACACUGGAGGACUUAACCAUUUCAGCUCUGGAAUUUCUACCCUAAACAUGAUGGGACCCCAUGUUGAUUGGAAGAAGAAGGAAAACACUAGCGAUCUUUGGAACUACUGAGAGAUAGAAUGGGCUGUGUCAAGAGGCCUGUAUCAGGAGUUCCAUGAACCAUCGAAAGGAAAGGAAGUCUGCCAAUUGAGGGGAGCCUGAGCUACUUCUUUA